AGAUGCGGUCAUACCAGCACUAAAGCACCGGAUCCCAUCAGAACUCCGAAGUUAAGCGUGCUUGGGCUAGAGUAGUACUAGGAUGGGUGACCUCCUGGGAAGUCCUCGUGUUGCAUUCU
rnacentral:rRNA from 1 species